rnacentral:rRNA from 1 species
CUACGGGAGGCAGCAGUUGGGAAUUUUGGACAAUGGGGGAAACCCUGAUCCAGCGACACCGCGUGGGCGAUGAAGGCCCUUUGGGUUGUAAAGCCCUGUCGUGAGUGAAGAAAUCCGCACCUGUAAAUAAUGGGAGCGGGUAGACGAUAGCUCAGGAGGAAGCCACGGCUAACUCUGUGCCAGCAGCCGCGGUAAGACAGAGGUGGCGAGCGUUGUCCGGAUUUACUGGGCGUAAAGGGCGUGUAGGCGGUCGCGUAAGUCAGUUGUGAAAUCCGUCGGCUCAACCGAAGAAUUGCUUCUGAUACUGCGUGACUUGAGUAUGGGAGAGGAAAGUAGAAUUCCCGGUGUAGCAGUGAAAUGCGUAGAUAUCGGGAAGAAUACCAAUGGCGAAGGCGACUUUCUGGCCCGUAACUGACGCUGAGGCGCGAAAGCCAGGGGAGCAAACGGGAUUAGAUACCCCGGUAGC